rnacentral:rRNA from 1 species
ACAAAUCUGCUAGACGGAUGACUUGGCUUGGAACAGCGACGAAGAUCGUGGCAAGCUGCGAUAAGCACCGGCGAAGCGCAAGCACCUUAUGAACCGGUGAUCGUUUAAUAGGACUUCCAUCUCCUUCGGGAGAGUUCCGAAAGGAAUGCAAACGCAGGGAAUUGAAGCGUCUUAGUACCUGCAGGAAAAGAAAUCAAUCGAGAUACUGUGAGUAGCAGCGAGCGAAAACAGCAGAGGGCAAACCGAAUGGGGUGCAGAAAUGUAUUCCGUAUGUGGGGUUAUAGGACCUGCUUUUGACCUUCGGCCACAACCUCAAGUUUCCUGGAAAGGAAUACCAGAGAGGGUGACAGUCCCGUAGGGAACUGUGGCACAGGCUUUGCAGGCAUCCUGAAUAUGCUCUCCUGGAUACGAGAGCAGAACUUGGGAGGCAUCAACUUCCAACCCUGAACAUGUUCCAAGUCCGAUAGCGCACUAGUACCGUGAGGGAAAGUUGAAAAGCACUCAUAAUAGAGAGUGAAAAGAUCCUGAAAUCUAGCAGAGAUAGCAUGUUACUGCCCUUCGGGGUUGUAACGUACGUUUCGAAUAACGGGCCAAGGAGUAUAUUUUUGUGGCGAGGCUAAUCUCUAUACGAGAGGAGCCGUGGCGAAAGCGACUGCCCGCAGUUUACGAGGGGCGAAGUAUGAAAAUGCUUUAGUCACAGAGAUACGACCCGAAACCAGGUGAUCUACCCCCGGGCAAGGUGAAGCAGCGGUAAAACGUUGUGGAGGCCUGAAGAGGUUCUGUGUGCAAGCGUUCUUCUGACUUGGGGUUAGGGGUGAAAGGCCAAUCGAACCUGGUGAUAGCUGGUUCCUGCCGAAAUGGGCCGCAGUCCAGUCCGAAUCGAGGUAGCGAGAGAGGUAGAGCUACGGAUUGGGGAUUUAGGUUCCGAAAGGAAUCGGUUCCCUGUCCAACUCAAAAUGCUUUCGCACCGUAGACGUUCGGAGACGGCUUUACGCGGGGUAAACCUGUAAAGCUAGAGGGGAACAACCCACGACCAUACUUAAGGUCCCCAACUGCUCAUUAAGUGUUAAAGGGUGAAGGGUGUAUAUCGCCUCAGACAGUAGGGAGGUAGGCUUAGAAGCAGCCACCCUUUAAAGAAAGCGUAACAGCUCACCCAUCAAGGCGAUAUGCCCCUAAAAUGGACGGGGCUAAAUGAGCGACCGAUAUUAUGGAUGUCUUCAGUAGAAGAAUAUGGUAGGCAGGUGUCGCAUCUGGCAAGAAGUUUUCUCGUGAGAGGAAAUGGACCGGAUGCGAAUAAGAAUCUUGGCGGUAGUAGGAUCAAAACAGAGUGAGACUCUCUGGUACCGUAAGGGCUAGGGUUUCUUAGCCAUGUAGUUCAGCUAGGAGUAAGUUGAUCCUAACACAUAUCGUAAUGUGAGAAUGUGGAAAGGGAAACAGGUUAAUAUUCCUGUACUUACAUGAUACGCGCGGCAACGCACGCGCGAUUUCUGACGCUUGAAGCUAUGUUGACACGAACUGUCGUUCGUGCUAAUCUGGAUACCACGUAUGAGAACUGUCAUGGUGAGAGUACGUGCAAAGCAGAGAAUGGCUGGCCUUGUGUCAGUUCAGCAGAUGCUUUGAGCCCGUGAAAAAGGAAUCGCGAAGGAUUCAUGUAAAUCAUACCGAGAACCAACACUGGUGCCCCUGGGUGAGAAGCCCAAGGUAUGAGGGAGUUAAUCUAGUUAAGGGAACUCGGCAAAUUCGUCCCGUGCCUUCGGUGGAAGGGAUCCCUGCGCUUGUGCUCGUAUGAGUGCAAGUACAGGGCUCAGUGACUAGGACGGUCCAACUGUUUAACAAAAACACAGCCUCUCGCAAGUCUGUGAAGAUAUGUACGCGAGGCCACGUCUGCCCAGUACCGGUAAUUCAAACUCCUUUUCAAGGGGGCUAAGAUCCGGCAAACGGCGGGAAUAACUAUAAUUCUCUUAAGGUGGAAAUGCUGCCUUAAGACCCAACGUGUGUUAAACACAAAAACUGUUCAUGUACAUAAAAUUGGGAUAUCAAUUUGGCCAUAUGCUGGAACAUCUCGACGAAUCUUCGUAGAAAAAAUAUUGGCGACAAUAUUCUCAUCUAAUAAUCGAAGUGGAGAGACCAUCAGCAGGAAAGACUUCUGUUAAACCUUUUUGAAAAAAAGUACAGAAGAAUCCUCAGAGACUUUAUGCCAAACACGUUCAUCGUGAAGAUAAAGUCCGACCACAACAGCGAUGUUGUGAGACAAACAGAAAUGCUUUGUCCGUUUUCUUGCAAAAGAACAAUGUAACAAAAUCGAGCGAAAUACCUUGUCGCUUUAAUGGCGACGUGCAUGAAUGGCGUAAUGAGACCGUUACUGUCCCUAACUAGAAUCCCCCGAACACAAGAUCUGGUGCAAAGGCCAGAGACCUCUAAUGGGAAGUAAAGACCCCGUGAAGCUUUACUGUAGUUUGUUGUUGCGACGUGAGUCGUGCUGUGCAGUGUAGGUGGGAGUCGUUUGAUGGCUUAGACGCUAGUUUGAGCCUAGACACCAAUGAAACACCACCCAGUACAACUUAUGUCGCUUACUUGCAGCAAUGCGAGGACAGCGGCAGGCGGACAGUUUGGCUGGGGCGGCACCCUGCUGAAAGUGUAUCAGUAGGGCCCAAAGGUCAGCUCAGGAGGUUUAGAAAUCCUCUGUAGAGUGCAAGUGCAAAAGCUGGCUUGACUGUGAUCCGAAAAGUAAGGAUCGCAGGUACGAAAGUAGGGACUAGCGAACCCAUAUGUCCUCCUUGAUGGGGGCUAUGUAUGACAGAAAAGCUACUCCGGGGAUAACAGAGUUGUCGCGCCUAAGAGUUCAUAUCGACGGCGCGGUUUGCUACAUCGACGUCGGCUCUUCCUAACCUGGCCGUGCAGAAGCGGCCAAGGGUGGGGGUGUUCACCCAUUAAAAGGGAUCGUGAGCUGGGUUCAAAACGUCGCGAGACAGUUUGUUCAAUAGCUGUUAGAGGUGUCGGGUAUCUGAGAGGAAGGUCCAUUUAGUACGAAAGGAACGAUGGAUCGUGGCCACUGGUAUAUCGGUUGUCUGACAAGGCAGGCCGAGCAGCUACGCCACAAUGGAUAACGGCUGAAUGCAUCUAAGCCGGAAACCAGCCUCAAAAAGAGAUACCCAUUAGGAGCUCCUGUAGAAGACAGGGUUGAUGGGAGCGGGAUGUACACAUCAAGGUAACGAGAUGUUCAGUCCGCGCUUACCAAUCGCUCCUGGGAUCUUG